GGACCCGCCUUUGUUCUUGGCUCCAGCUACUCAGCAGUCGGCGCCUACCCCUCAGCCAGGAGGUCAGACAAGAUACCAGAGGUGCAGUACUGAUGAGUCACCAUGACCAUGAGAGCCAUCCACAGAGGCAGAGCAUGAAGAUAGCAAGAGCCCAAAUCCUUGUAGAUAUCCUCCUGUGUCUGGACCUGCUCCCUACCUCCAGAUAGGUCUCCUAAACCACAUCACCUCUACUUUCAAUAUUGUAGGAGGCUACAGG